UCGAUUAGAGUUUGAUCCUGGCUCAGAUUGAACGCUGGCGGCAGGCUUAACACAUGCAAGUCGAGCGGUAGCACAGGGGAGCUUGCUCCCCGGGUGACGAGCGGCGGACGGGUGAGUAAUGUCUGGGAAACUGCCUGAUGGAGGGGGAUAACUACUGGAAACGGUAGCUAAUACCGCAUAACGUCGCAAGACCAAAGAGGGGGACCUUCGGGCCUCUUGCCAUCAGAUGUGCCCAGAUGGGAUUAGCUAGUAGGUGGGGUAAUGGCUCACCUAGGCGACGAUCCCUAGCUGGUCUGAGAGGAUGACCAGCCACACUGGAACUGAGACACGGUCCAGACUCCUACGGGAGGCAGCAGUGGGGAAUAUUGCACAAUGGGCGCAAGCCUGAUGCAGCCAUGCCGCGUGUGUGAAGAAGGCCUUCGGGUUGUAAAGCACUUUCAGCGAGGGGGAAGGUGGUGAGCUUAAUACGUUCAUCAAUUGACGUUACUCGCAGAAGAAGCACCGGCUAACUCCGUGCCAGCAGCCGCGGUAAUACGGAGGGUGCAAGCGUUAAUCGGAAUUACUGGGCGUAAAGCGCACGCAGGCGGUUUGUUAAGUCAGAUGUGAAAUCCCCGGGCUCAACCUGGGAACUGCAUUUGAAACUGGCAAGCUAGAGUCUCGUAAAGGGGGGUAGAAUUCCAGGUGUAGCGGUGAAAUGCGUAAAAAUCUGGGAGAAUACCGGUGGCGAAGGCCGCCCCCUGNACGAAGACUGAAACUCAGCUGCCACAACGUGGAGAGCAACGGGAUUAGAUACCCUGCUCAUCUGGGCUGUAACGA
rnacentral:rRNA from 1 species